AAGCUGCUCCAGCUGACAGAUAGAAACUAUGGAGCUAGGGGAAAAAAUUAUCCUACAUCUCAAGUGAUCUUCAAAAUGAUUUUCAUAACAUCAGUCACCAAAGCAAUAAUAACCAGGCAUACAAGAGAGAAGAUAACAUAAAACCUUGGACAAAUAACAAGCAAUAUAAACCUCCCAUAAGAUGAAGGAAUAAUACUACAGGAACGGUGUUAAAAACAUUCGGGGCUAGCUUUGACAUUGAAAUUCACUAGAAUGGGGAGCAUGACAUGAUUACAGACCACAGCACCAUGCCAGCCACAAUGGACACUGCUGCUCUCAAGUGGAGUGGGCAAGACCAUGUGGGGAAACCGAAUAUGUGACCUGCACAUGGCCAGUUCCUCUCAGCCUGUUCCCCAUUCACUGCCUCUACCAGUCACGACAGAUAGCACUAGUUAAUGACAGCACCAUUACUGCUAUUAAUAAAUAUAUAAUAAAGUCUUU